GUGCUCGCUUCGGGAGCACAUAUACUAAAAUUGGAACAAUACGGAGAAGAUUAGCAUGGCCCCUUUGCAAGGAUGACACAAAAAUCUGUGAAACGUUUCAUAUCUUU